UACGUAGGGGGCUAGCGUUGUCCGGAAUCAUUGGGCGUAAAGAGCGUGUAGGCGGCCCGGUAAGUCCGCUGUGAAAGUCGGGGGCUCAACCCUCGAAUGCCGGUGGAUACUGUCGGGCUAGAGUGCGGAAGAGGCGAGUGGAAUUCCUGGUGUAGCGGUGAAAUGCGCAGAUAUCAGGAGGAACACCCGUGGCGAAAGCGGCGCGCUGGACCACUACUGACGCUGAGGAACGAAAGCUAGGGGAGCAAACAGG
rnacentral:rRNA from 1 species